rnacentral:rRNA from 1 species
UACGUAGGGCGCAAGCGUUGUCCGGAAUUAUUGGGCGUAAAGAGCUCGUAGGCGGUUUGUCGCGUCUGCUGUGAAAACUCGAGGCUCAACCUCGGGCUUGCAGUGGGUACGGGCAGACUAGAGUGCGGUAGGGGUGACUGGAAUUCCUGGUGUAGCGGUGGAAUGCGCAGAUAUCAGGAGGAACACCGAUGGCGAAGGCAGGUCACUGGGCCGCAACUGACGCUGAGGCGCGAAAGCUAGGGGAGCAAACGGG